GGAUGGUGUGUUCAGGGUGAUGAGCUGUGUUGCUUUUACGCCAAACAUAACGUUUUGCAUUGUUGCCAAAAAGUUCAAUUUUGGUUUCAUCUGACCAGAGCACCUUCUUCCACAUGUUUGGUGUGUCUCCCAGGUGGCUUGUGGCAAACUUUAAACUACACUUUUUAUGGAUAUCUUUAAGAAAUAGCUUUCUUCUUGCCACUCUUCCAUAAAGGCCAGAUUUGUGCAAUAUACGACUGAUUGUUGUCCUAUGGACAGAGUCUCCCACCUCAGCUGUAGAUCUCUGCAGAUCAGAUCAGGCCCUGAAGCCAGGAUAUGCAUAUAAUUGGUACCAUUGGAAAGAAAACACUUUGAAGUUUGUAGAAAUGAAAAUAAUGUAGGAGAAUAUAACACAAUAGAUAUGGUAGGAGAAAAUCCAAAGACAAACCAACCAGAAUACAUUUGUUUUGAGAGACCAUCCUCUUACAAUGGCAAGUAUACGGUCAUACGGAAAAUUAGCUCCCUGGAUGCACUUCCUUUCUCUUCCACGGGGUGUCAGCAGUCUAUGUUCCAGGGUUUAGGCUUGUAACUUCAAAAAACGAAUAAGAAAUAACAGUUUUAGUAGAAGGACACAGUCUUGGAAAUUCUGGUUUGCGCACGCCAUUAAGAUAGGACGCACCUGCUAAAAUCGGUUUCCUAUUGAACAUACUUCUUUCCGUAAGAAAUAUUAUAGUUUGAUUACAUUUUGGGGUAUCCGAGGAGUGAUUAGAAACUUUUAACUUGUUGAAAUAAAUUUUAGGGGUAGAUUUUCAGAUUCCUUUCUUUUUUUGUAUGUUGAACGAGUGGAUUACUCAAAUCGAUGGUGCCAACUAAACUGACUUUUUGGGAUAUAAAGAAGGAUGUUAUCUAACAAAACGACACUACAUGUUAUAACUGGGACACUUUGAAAAAUCAGAGGAAGAUUUUCAAAAAGUAAGUGAAUAUUUAAUUGUUAUUUGUGAACAUAUGAAACCUGUGCUGGUGGAAAAAUAUUUUGAUAUGGGGUGCUGUCCUCAAACAAUCGCAUGUCAUGUUAUGACUUUAAUAGCUACUGUAAAUCAGACAGUGCAGAUAGAUUAAUAAGAAUUUAAGCUUUCAACCAAUAUAAUACACUUAUAUGUACCUAAAUGUUUAAUGUCCACAAUUUGUAUGAUUAUUUAGCGGGACGCCAAGCCCUAAAAGGUUUUAUAUCCGGUUGCCUGGGGCCCUUUGGGAAAAAUGCAAAUUUGUUUUCUUCACGUCUGCCGAUAAAAGGAAAAAUAUAUGUUGGUAAUGGUUGACAGUUACUCCAAAUGGGUUGAAGUUUUUCCCACCUAGAGUGAUGUGUAUUGUUUUCCCCACCUCUAGUUUUAUAUAAAGAAGUGCAUUGCUGUUGUUGUGUUUUUUUGUUUGUUGUUGUCUUGCUUCCUUAACAAAUCUCAUCAGAUUGGGUCUGCUGUAUCUCCCUAAGGGUUGGCCCUCUAACUCCCUGACCCUGUAACUGCAGUGAGAUUGCCAAGAUGGUUAUAGUGACCACAGAUGGUAUAGAUGCAUGGAAGGGCUAAUUUUACCAAGAACAGUGAACCUCAACCCUCCCUAAUCGGCUGAAGUAAUGGCGACAAUGGCGUUCAGUAUGGUCCUGCACCACUUCUACCUGAGUCCGAGCCAACAACCUGUACACAGCAUCCUGUCAAAGCUAUCAACUGCCUUUUCUCACAUGCCUUUUCUCUCAGGAGUGCGACAUUAGUCCACUUGGAGUGAGUAUAGAGAGAGAUCCCGUCAAAGCUUCUUUGAACAUGUGCCAAACAAACUGAAACACUGUCUGAAGAAGAACAUGAAGAAGCGCCAGAAGGAUGAAUGGUGGGAGGGAGGGGGGCUGGUCAAUUGUUAAAGUUUUCUUGUGCUUUUUAUGGAGUUUUCUUAAUGUUCUGGGAACAAUUUGAGAACAUUAAUUUAAAUUUAACCAUGAAGUAACCCGUAGGAAACGUUAUGCUGAAGUAUUGAAAUUCCCACUGAAGAAUGUUGCUUUUUAACGGUCUCUGAACUAUUAUAUUUGAGAACAUUCCCAAUGUAACCAUGUUUGAACUUUUAGAAAACCUUCUGUUAAAGUAAUGAAAUUCCAAG
ensembl:lncRNA